rnacentral:piRNA from 1 species
UGCUAAGUAGAAAAUGUGCCAGUGACAA